GUUGGUUGAAAAUCACCCCUGGCUUUGGUUGUAGCCAGGAGUGAGAUGCAGUGCCCAGAGCCAGCAGGGACCUCAGUUCAUGGCCCACUGCAUCAUGGGCAGGGGUGAAACCCAGGCCCCAACAGGU
ensembl:snoRNA